GAUACCUUGAUUUAAAAAGACAACUAUGCAGCCAAAUGAAAGCUGCAGGCCAAGCCUCAGGCUGGCGCCUGUUGGAUGAGGCUUUGUACACCAGGACCCACAUUGCUCCGACUUGAUAUGACCUUCCCACUGAGACUCAGUACAGCCAAACUGGGGAAAAGACAGUCAUUCCAAGUGGUACAUUUCCUUUGAUGGUUACUCCAGCACCUGAGAGAGCCUUGGAGCCUCUGUUUACACUGCAGCUGAGCUGAGUGAGCAAAAACGCCGUAGCCUAGAUUGUUCUUCAGCCUCAACUGGCGUAAAUUAGCCAGCUGUCUAAGUAGUGAGGGUGUUUGUGGAUGCUAAACACUGCUGUCUACUUCUGAGGACACUCACUAGGAAUGGGAAGAUGGCCCUGUGAACAUACAGCUCUCAGGGUGUCUGUCUGGGAUGACCAAUGCCAGUUCCUGGUCUGACUCAGGUAUGGGAUGGCCUCUAUUCCACUUGUACUGGGAGAACGACACUUAUUGAGUCUUAACUGAUGUAGUGAUGAGACUGUCAAUUGGUGAUUUAGACAGUAGUCAAUGUCCUGUUGCGUCAUUCCUUCAUUUUUGAUAAUGAAUAGAGGCAGUUAGUUUUCAGAUUUUUAGGAUCACAGACACCCCUAAGGGUUACUGUAUCCAACCUCUUUCAUCUGCGGAACAUGAGCUGCCCAUGGGGAGAAGUUCCAACCCCUGAGAGGAAGUUUGCUUUUCUUUUUCAGGUUACCAAAGGCAGUUGUUAGGAUGUGCAAAGAUGUGCAGUUGUCUGUCUGUGGUGGCAUAGAUGUGUACCAGGCUCUUCCCCCACAAUUCUGUCUCCCUCUGGGUCUGUGAAACCAUUUUCUCAUACUUUGGCCUGUGUCUUUUCCAAGGCUACCUUGGAGAACUUUCAAUUCAGUUGUCCACUAAAGUAAAUUUGGAUUCUGACAGGGAGGGAAGAGUGGCAGAGUCACCACGUUUGGAUAGAUUUGUUUCCCUUUGAAUUGAGAAGGAAGGCAAGAGUGAGAAGGAGCCAGUGAUUAUUAGCCUGAGUUUCUGCUCAAUUUGUGGAAGGACGUUUAGAAUUGCCAACUCAAGGAAGCUCUGGGCCAGAAGUAAUGCUUCUGUCUGAUAAGUCACAUGGCCCUGUAUGGAGGUGUUGAUAUGGUUUAAGAAAUACUAAACUUACAGCCUGGUGCUCUGGGUUUGUCCAUUAUUAGCUGUGUGACUAGCAAGUCACAAUCUCACUUGAGGCGCUGUUUCCUCCUCUGUCAAGUGUGGAUACUAAUGCUUGUCUGGAUCACCUCAUGGAGUUAUUCUAAAACACAACAGGAUAUACUAAUCUGUGUUAUGUGACAGGAGUGUUGGAUAUGAAGUUACACAUCAAAGUCAAAUGUCCCAUCUCCUAAGUUCAACACAAUGAAUUAAUUUUUUCCAGUCUGUGACAGGUCCCAUUGACUCUCUGAUUGAAGGGUAGAUGAAGAAUUCGAUUCUCAUUUAGAGGAUGUGCCCUACAAAACAAAGCUAUUGCUAUUGUCUUUCUACCACCUUGUGUGCUUGUGAAUUUGGGUUCUCAUGUUAAAUGUAUACUUGUGACAAAUGAUUUGAAAAAAGAAAAGCUGAUCAAAGGCCUCUACAAAUAAGAGAUGAACCUGUGAGGCGAAGAGCAAGAGAGUAGCCAGAAAGGUUCCCUGAGCCCUGAAUGGAGGGAUUUGAUGGAGGAAUCUUGUUUAGGGCCGACUCAUUAGACAUUCUUUAAAAGCAAUUUUGAGACAGUGUUUCCUGUGGCCCAGGCUGGCUUUGAACUCACCAUGUGGUCAAAGCUGACACUAAACUUCUGACAGUCCUGCUGGGAUUAGUGGCAUGUAAUUCUUCAUUUUUCAUUUUAAAGACACAGCUUUGUCUCUGCUUCACUGUGGGAACAGCCUUGCGUGGAAGUCCACAGCCAAUCCUGGCUUUGGCCCUUGGUAGCACCAGCCAGAGAUCAGAAGUUUCAGGGAAGCUGGGAGAGCUUUGAGGAAUGGUGAGUUCUUACCGAUGAAGCGGCAGGCAUCGUUCUUGUACACAGAGGUGGCUCAGUUGUCCUCAGCUCUCUUUGGAGGAAGGUGGUUCAGCACUGGACUAUCUGCUUUGCUCAAAAGUCUUUUCAUCUCAGCCUGUUCUCAGGAAUUUCCCAGAAGUGAAGAGCAUUCUUUCCUAAUUUAUCCUCGACACAUGCUUCCCCUGUAUCCUUGGAACAUCACAGGCACGUUGAGCACAGUUUUUCAUUCAUGAGCAGGACAGCCCUGCAUGAUUGGCAUCAUCACGUCCUGUACUUUGGGCAGAGGAAGCUGAAUUCAGAGCUACUGGAAGCGGAACUGACUGACUAUUCAAGCACGUUGGCAGCAGUGACCUUCGAGACUGGUCUGGGAAUGGGCUGCCUCAUUGACUGAUUGCAGGGGUUGGGGGAAGAGCAAAUGAGCUCCAAAAUAAAAGCAUCAUGUCCUCAGGAACAGCCAUCGGGCAAACUGAGUCCCACAGCGCUUAAUGUUACCCAUCUCAUGACAUAAAGAGAAGCCGGAGCCACAAUGACUACCUCGACUUCCCCAGUCUGUGUCUGCUGGUUGCUGUGAGUGCCCUGGAUGAUGCCACCUCUGCUGUUGCUUUCUGUCCCUUCACUUGGAAGCCUCACCUGAGGGGACAGCCUGCUCUGCCCUAAACUUUCCACUUUGAUUUUCAGCUGUCUGCUUGAAAGGGGCUUCCACAGCCAACCUCUGCUGGUUGUUUUGGGCACCAGCUUUGGUGGUGUUUACUAUCUACCUGUCUGUAUAUCUGCUGUGUGCUAGUUAUUCUUUGACUUUGGUUUAACAA
rnacentral:sRNA from 1 species